rnacentral:lncRNA from 1 species
AUAUUUUCUGGAAUUCAGUCAACCGUUCAUAAUUUGACAUGCACAUGCACAUGCAAUCUUGUUUUCUUCCUCAAAACAUAUUCACACAGUGUGGCUCUAUAUUGUGUAACGCCUCCACUUCUCCCUAAGGCGAACCAAAGGGUAUCCGCGGGACGCCUGCCCAACUCUCGCCAGGACUCACUACAAUCCAUCAUUCAAAAACCCGAAAUACCUUAAGUAACUUCAAUACAUAAUUAAAGUACUUCAAAUAUCUCACACUUACAAUUAUACAGCUUUCAACCUUAAAUACAACCCAACGAAAAAAGGGGUACAAUAGCCAUCCGUUAUAAUAUAAUUUAAAAUCUUCAAAAGAAAACAAUCUAAUACUACUCACGAGCACCCUUGGUUUUGAACCCUGUAAAAGAAAACCACAACGUGGGAUGAGCUACACAGCCCAGUGAGGUUCCAAGACACUCUAACAGUUCAAAUAAAUCAAAUAAGUUGGGCAUAUCAUAUGCAUGGUGUAAGGUUACACAAUGGCAUGUUAUCAUGAGGUGAUAAUCAUUGUACGGGUAAUUUGAGACAUUAUCAUGGUAUGAGACAUUUAUCAUGUGACAGUUUUUAUGGUUCAAGACAUUGGCAUAUAUAGUUCACGAGUGAAUGGAGCUUAUUACAGGCAUAGCUCAGGACUUCAUAUUGGCAUUUUAGCAUGAAACAAUUAUCAUGCUACCAGGUAAACAUAUACUGUAGGAUACGGUGUUCCAGUGGAACUCUGUCGGUCAUCUGCACCUUAUGACUUCCGGAUCCCCACGGUACGGUCUGGCCAUCGCCUUAUCCCUCCAGUGGUAAUACUCGAGUAUACCGAAACGGUGGCCCAGGGUUCCAACCUACCCGACCGAGCCCAGUCCUGGCUCGAGUAGGUCAGUAACCAAGGGCAGGGCCCAAGUUCAGUUUAGAGCUUACAACAUGCACAGAUAACCAAGUAAUUCGACAAAAGGUAAAAUUCAUCAUUAGAGUAGGUCGAGUGAGGUAAAGUACCCACUCGCCUAAUAAUGAUGGAUAGUUUCAUAUAACAUGUGAUUCAGGAUAAUCAAGUAAUCAAGUAGAUACUUAGCACGUAAGCACGUAAGCAAUACAAGUUGAUUUCAUGGGAGCAUGUAAUUCACGGAUAUCGAAUAGUCAUGUAGAUUGGAAAUCAUGUGAGCAAAUAGUCAAGUAAUCCAGUAGUCAUGUGGUUGGUAAACGGUUCACGGUUAACGGUUGACGGUUAACGGUUGACGGUUAAUGGUUAACGGUUAAGUAGUGACGGUUAAUUGACAGGCAUUUGUCAUAUGAAUAGGCCAUCAUUGGCCGUUAUCCCAUUUUUACCAUGUAAGAGUCGAGGAGAUUCACUCCAACGACGUAUGCAACCUUAGCAUACCAAGUCAUGUUAUUCGAGCAUUUCCAAGCAUGAGUUAUUCAUCUCAAAAGAGAACGAGUGCGAUAAAGUACACACUCGACUCCAUUUCUCAAAAUCAAGUAGGCUAAGUAAAUAAUCUAGCAAGUUAAGCAUGUAUCGAGUUCAUAUGGUCAUUUGAUAUGGUUAAUCAUUUAACCAAUUCAUGUAGAUAUACAAUGCAAGUAUACAUUCCUUAAAUAGGCAUGAGUAUGGUAAAUACUUAACACAUAGCACUUAACACUUAAUAAUCAUGAAAUAAACGUGUCCUAGACUUAUUCAAUUACGUAUUCCUAUAUGAAACACUCACCUAGUCAAAACAAGCGAGUAGUUUUCAAACAAGCGUUUAGGUGUCCGCUCCGAGCUCCUCUUGGAGAUUCCCUCGAGUGCCUGAGUAAACAAUAAUCAAGUACCACUCAACAUCACUACGAAUCUCUAAUUAUCGAGGAAAAUUGUACGCUACUGCAAUCUAAGGAAAUCUUAUGAAAAUGAACCUCAAUUACUCGUAAAUCGAGGUUCAAGAGUAAAGUUUUAAAGUCUAAAGAGAGAGACUAAUAUUUUCCAUGAAAUCAAGUUCAAGAUGUUCAAUCGGUAUCGAGAAAAGAAGGCAAGUUUCCAAAAUCUCAUUUUCUAAGAAAUUGACAAAUUUCAGCUUUGGGUGUCAAUUUAGAAAAAUCGUAUCUUGCACUAUGUAGGUCCAUAAUUAGAAAACUUGAUACCGUUGGAAACUUCUUCAAAAGCACUAAAAGUUCCUAGAAGAUACUUUUCCAUGAUUCCAAAUGGAAGAUAUUCAAAAAUUGACUCAAAGUUGCUGCUUGGGACCAUUAUGACAGUUUCGGGAUUGCUUUUUGACCAACUUUGAAAAUCCAGCAAAAUUCACACAAUACAAACUAGCCUCCAAAAUUUAGAACUCAAUUAGAGCUACAAUCAAAGUUUAAAACAAAACAAACGGAACAAGAAUCAAAGUUUUGAGCGCCAAGAUAUAGCAGCUCAAAGUUGGCUAAAAUUUCCUCCUCGAUCAGGAAUUUCCAGAUUUAAACAUGAACUUUGGGACGUUGGUUGAACACUGAAACGGACUUGGAAUGGCACCAAAUUUAGCAGUAUUACACUACCAUAUAGGGGUUAUUCCUCUGCAAAUUUUCAAGCAAAAUCUAGCACGAAGAGUCAAUUAACAAAACUGUUGAAGUUUUCAAGAAUUUCCAAGGCAAUCUGCCUCGUACCUUUGUUUUCCUUUUCUCAAGCAUUUGGCCACUAAAAACCUCUCAAAUAUGGUUCAUUUGCGUAGAUAAUGUCUAAAAAACAUCCAAGCUGUAUUUGGUAGGUGAUUUAUACCAAGAAUUUCGAAUGACAAGUCCCAAGUCAAGAUUGGCUAAUCGGCUAAGCGAAAAGGAAAAGUUUUCCAGAUUCGAAGAGAAAUUUCGGGGCAUCAUUUGCAUAUCAAAAUGGUCUUAGAAUAUCACCAAAUUUUGCACAAUUAAACCUCCAUAUGAGGACCACUCCUCUAUCAAAUUUCAUUUGAAAAUUCACACGAGAAGGUAGUUAACUAAACCAUCAAAGUUCAAGAAAUUUCCCAAGGCAAAACUGUCUUCUAGCUCUUCUUUCUUUUUAAAACAUUUUGUCCAAUGCAACCAACCCAAAUCUGGUUUAUUUGUAAAACAAAGUCCAAGGAACAUCUAAUAUAAAGUUUGGUAGAUGUUGGACAUCAAAGUUUCCAAAACAACAAGUCCCAAAUCAAGCUAGGCCAUUCAACUAGUCAAAAGAGGAUUUUUACUCACUGCAUCAGUUUCGAAAUAUAGCCACAACUCACUCAAUUCAACUUGGAAUUGAGCGUGGUUGAUGGCGUUGGAAAGCUAUCUCAUAAAUCUGAAUUUUAUCAGAAGAAACCAUUCUGAAAUUCUAUCCACAAACAGCUCGUUUUUGAGCAUCAAGAUACCAGUCCUGUCCUGUCUCCUGGAGAGAAAUGAAACAGGACAGUGAUAUUCAAACGAAUGGUGUGGCUCACUCAAGUGGAACCAGAACGUGAAUUUGCUACCAAUGGAAAGCUGGGAAUGUCUAGUUUCCAAUGCCACAAACGGCACUUGAUUUCGACAUCGGAGUAAAGAGUUAUAGCCGAUACAAAAUGACUGCCUGGGCAAUACGGGAUUCAUUUUCCAGUUUUGCUAACUUUGGAAAUCAACUCAUUUGACCAACCAAAUCAUGUUAUUUUUCAAUGCAAUUUUGUACACACUCACAAUAACAUGUAAAAAACAUAAUCAAGUCAUUAGAAUCUCAAAAUUGUGCACAAAAUGGUUGGACAAGGCAGGGGCAAAAUCGGAAACUUUUGCUUCUUGCACCCAAUGAAGUUUCUAUCAAUUACACACCAUUAAUCCAUCAUUUUAACCACUAAACCAACAAUAUAUCCACCAUCAAUCAUCAAAUCAGCAACAACCCAAGUGUGGGAGUUCAUAGAGUCCACUUUCACAUUUUAUACCAUAAACAAGACUACCCACAUGAUUAUAUAACCUUAUAUGUGCAAUAUAUCUUACAAAAACUAAGAUCUAUGGGUUGGAUGAUUUGCUACCUUCUUGGAUGACUAGAUCAGAAAUUUUGGUCACUCCUUGCUCCAGAAAACCGUGACUUUUCAGAUCCCUUUUGCAGCUCAAAAUACUCCUCAAGUAUCAAGCUAAGUGUGGUGCAAGUUUGGUUGAAUUUGGAGAUGAUUUGGGGUGGUUUUGAGUGAAAUUUGUGAGCAGAAAUUUUGAAGCAAAUGAGUUAGAGAGAGAAGAGAGCUGGUCGGCAAUGAGGAGAGAGAAUAUGGAGAGAAAUCUGAUUUCCUUUAGCU